rnacentral:lncRNA from 1 species
UAUGAUUUGAAUUCAUUCCUAGAAGUGUUUAUGGUCUUAUUUGUAGAAAAUAAUCGAAGAAGAAUAGCAAAGAUUAAGCUCUUAUUUUUAUGGUAAGGAUCAUAAUUAGCCACCAUAUAUAUUGUUGAAUUUCAAAACUUUGCUUGCAAUGUAGAUUGAAAUGAUAAAGCUCUUAUCAAUUCUAAUGUGGAUUGAAGGAUAAUGUUGAAGAUUUGUUAUUUA